rnacentral:miRNA from 12 species
ACAGCGGGCAGGCCUUGCCAU